AGCGAACGCUGGCGGCAGGCCUAACACAUGCAAGUCGAACGAACCUUUCGGGGUUAUUGGCGGACGGGUGAGUAACACGUGGGAACGUUCCUUUAGGUUCGGAAUAACUCAGGGAAACUUGUGCUAAUACCGAAUGUGCCCUUCGGGGGAAAGAUUAAUCGCCUUUAGAGCGGCCCGCGUCUGAUUAGCUAGUUGGUUGAGGUAAUGGCUCACCAAGGCGACGAUCAGUAGCUGGUCUGAGAGGAUGAUCAGCCACAUUGGGUCUGAGACACGGCCCAAACUCCUACGGGAGGCAGCAGUGGGGAAUCUUGCGCAAUGGGCGAAAGCCUGACGCAGCCAUGCCGCGUGAAUGAUGAAGGUCUUAGGAUUGUAAAAUUCUUUCACCGGGGACGAUAAUGACGGUACCCGGAGAAGAAGCCCCGGCUAACUUCGUG
rnacentral:rRNA from 1 species